ensembl:lncRNA
CUGUGAUGAUGGUUGCACAAUGAUAUGAGCGUGAUUAAUGCCCCUGAAUUGUAUGCUUAAAACUGUCUCAAGUGGCGCUUUGGCAGCACAUACAGUAAAACUGCAACAAUACAGAGAUUAUUGUUCUCUGAGCAAGGAUGACAUGCAAAUUUGUGAAGCUCUCUCUUUUGUAGUAGAUGGUUGGAAGCAUCUCUUUAUAUAUUCCAGUUAAUAAGUAAGAAAAAAAGGAGACAUAAUUUGAAUAUUAUUUUGAAACUCCCAGCAAUUAAACAAAUGUAGACAUUAGGCUUCAACAACUGCUAACAUCAAAAAAAAAAAAAAAAAAAAAGGAAAGCAAUAGUCAGACACUGAUCUUAUGUCUAGAAGGGGAUGCAGCUCCCCUGUCUAAAGAGUUGAAUCGUUCUAACUUCACGGUGACAAUAGUGACAAUCUGUGUAUUGUUUUCACUUUGCCCUAAUAAGGAGAACAGUUUAUUUUCAUCAUGUACUCACAAAAAGGGUUACUUUCUCCAAUCUAUAAAGAAUGGUGUCGUAUACAUUUUUAAGUAGCAACUUUUAUGAGAAAUAUAUAUAUGUAGUCACAGUAAAGAUAAACAAAAUUAAGAUAAGCUGUUUUAAAAUGAGCAGAGCAUCAGUGAAACAUGGGAUGAUUUCAAACAGCUAUAUACGUGUAAUUGGAGUCCCUAGAGGAGGGGAGGGAGAAGGCAGUGGCACCCCACUCCAGUACGCUUGCCUGGAAAAUCCCAUGGAUGGAGGAGCCUGGUGGGCUGCAGUCCAUGGGAUCGCGAAGAGUCUGACACGACUGAGCAAUUUCACUUUCACUUUCCACUUUCAUGCAUUGGAGAAGGAAAUGGCAACCCACUCCAGUGUUUUUGCCUGGAGAAUCCCAGGGAUGGGGGAGCCUGGUGGGCUGCCGUCUAUGGGGUCGCACAGAGUCGGACACAACUGAAGUGACUUAGCAGCGGCAGAGGAGAGGAGAGGAGGGGAGAGGGAGAGAUAAGAGGACCCCAAAUUGAGGAAAUCAUGGCUAAAAUUUUUCAAAAUUUGAUGCAAACUGUAAACCUACAGAUUCAAGAAACUCAACAAAACCCUAAGUGCAAGAAACAUUAAGAAAAUUAUAUCAAGAGAUAAUCAUAUUCAAAUUGCUUAAAGUCAAGGAUAAGGAGAAAAUCUUAAAAGCAGAGAAAAGAGACAUAUUACCUGUUUUUCCUUGGACAAUAGUGUUCUCCUUGGAAAUAAUGCAAGCAAAAUGACAGUAGAUUAUCAUCUUUAAAACUGUCAACCUAGACUUCUAUACCCAGCAAGAAUAUUUUGCGAAAAAUGAAGGGAAAAUGUAGACAAAAUUGAUGGAAUUAAAAAGUCGGUUCUUUGAAAAGAUCAACAAAUUUGGCAAACCUUUAACCAGACUGGCAAAGGAAACUAAAAAAAACUAAAAUUAGAAAUAAAAGUGGAGACGUUACUAUUGACUUUAUUGUGAAAAAUUUUAUAAGAGAAUACUAUGAACAAUUACGUGGCUGUUUACUCAGUCGUGUCCAACCCUGCGACCCCGUGGACUGUAGGCCACCUGACACCUCUGUCCAUGGAAUUUUCCAGGCAAGAAUACUGGAGGGGGUUGCCAUUUCCUUGUCCAGGGGAUCUUCCCAACCCAGGGACCAACCCAAGUCUUUUGUGUCUCCUGCGUCGGCAGGUGGAUUCGUUACCACUGGUGCCACCUGGGAAGCCCAUGAACAACUAUAUGGCAAGAAACUAAAUAAUCCAAGAGAAAUGGACACAUUUAUUGAAAUAAAUUGCCUCAAGUGACACAAGACAAAACAGAAAUAUUCAGCAGGCCUGUAACUAAUGAAGAGAUUGCAUCAGUAAUCAAAAACCCCUCAACGAAGGAAAGUCCAAAACCAGAUAGCUUCAAUGGUGAAUUCUACCGAACAUUCAAAGAAGAAUUAACAUGAAUAAUACUCCAACUCUUCAAAGGAAGUAAAGAUUCAGAAAGCAUAUGAGGUGCCUAGAACAGGCAAAUGCAAAGAGACAGAGAGUGGGACACCAGGCCCUGGGGGUGGAAAGAAUGGGAAGCUGUUAUUUAGCUGGGACAGAAAUGGGAUAAAAGUAAAAGGAAAGAAAAUGAUAUGCUAUGCUGUCACUAAUCAAAAGGUAACUGAAGUGGCGAUAUUAAUAUCAUAUAAAAUAGACUUUAGAGUAAAGAAUAUUUACCAAGGACCACGAAGAUCAUUUCGCAAUCAUAAAUGGGUCAGUUAAUCAAGAGGGCAUAACAAUCCUAAACAAUUACGUACACUAACAAUAGAGAUUCAAAAUACCUAAAACAAAAACUAAGAGAAGUACAAGGAGAAAUGGGUAUUCAUAAACUGUAGUCAGAGAUUUCAGUACUACUCAAUAGUUGAUAGAAAAAUAGGCAGAAAAGCAACAGGAAUAAGAAGACUUAAAAACAUCAUCAGCUGACUUGACCUCAUGGACACGUGUCGAAUACUCCACUCAACAACAAAAGAAUACGAAGUCUCUCAAGUGCACAGGGGCCAUUUACCAAGAUAGAUCAUAAUCUGGCCCGUGAAGCAAGUCCCAAUAAAAUCGAGAGGAUUCAAGUCAUAUACACGGACCACAUGGAGUUAAAUAAGAAAUCAGUAACAGAAAGCUUCUUGGAGAAUCCCCACGUUUGGAAGUUAAAUCACACACUCCUAAAUACAUCAAAGGCUUCAGUUUUAAGAAACCAGGAAAAGCACAGCAAAUUAAAUCUAAAGCAAACAGGAAAAAAAAAAUAGAAAUAAUAAAGAUCAAAGAGGAAAUCAAUACAGAAAAAUCAAUGAAAUCAAAAGCUGGUUCUUUGGAAAGAUUAAUAAAUGUUCAUUGGCUGAUUUUGUGUCUCCUGAAUCCACUCCCCUAUUUCGAGCACGUGGAAGAGUUGAGAGAAGGGAAAAAGAGAAAAGGAGCUACAGCUGUGCUGAGUUCCUUCCAAGGAGGCACGUGGGGCAUGGUGCUUUCCACUUGGUCCCUUGCAGCUGAGAAAGGGUGACUGGUUCUCCAUCUCAGGUCUGGAAACAUCUUUUAAGCUGUCUGCGACCUCCGGACAGAGGAGUCGGCAUGUCUAGAGUUUCUUUAGAUCACGUGGCAGGAGAUGCCUCAGAAAGACUCAAUAUUUGGUCCUCUGAAGCAUACAAGCAAGUAUGCUGCUCCGCAGGAGGAGCCCUCUCUAGACUUUGGCCAGGCUGAGAGAACACCGAGGCAUCCAGCUAGGUAGGAACCACCUCGUCACCUUCCCUCCUCUGUCUCUCGGCCCCCACCAGGAUCAAGACAGUAACUAGAAAGCAAGAGGACAGAAUCCACCCACAAUCGCCUCCCUGGACUCAAGGCUCUCUCCUGCCUCCAGCCUUAGCUGGGGAAAGAAGAGAGGUCUUAACCCUGAAAGGGAAAUAUUUCCUCCACGUGGCCCUGGCGACCAUGUGCAUCUCUACCUGGGUCAUGUAGGCAAGACACAGCUGGCCUCAACCUUGGCAGGACCCCCUGUGGUCCUCCCAGAACAUGACAACUUAGGGAGCUUAUGGAGGGGCUUCCUCUCCCUCUUCCAGGAAGGCCUUUUUCUCCUGGGCUCUAAUGACAUAGGAGGCUUUCUGCCUCGCACGUCUUAGGGUACAGCUGCAGGUUAUCAAACUACACAGAAAUGACUCCUGGCUGUCAGGGUGCCCCACCCCUCAUGUUACAUUGUCAUCUCUUGUUUUGGGGUCAUCCUUUUGAAGAAGGGUCACGGGAAGCUGCCACCUUGACUGAUCUUGCUUUUGCUCUCGAUGCACAUGAUAAACUGUCUGAACUGAAAAAGAUUUGUUUCGGAAAUUCCCUGGUUGCCCAACGGUUAGGGCUCCGUGCUUCCACUGCAGGGGGCCUGGGUUCGAUCCUUGGUCAGGGAGCUGAGAUGCUGCGAACCUUGCACAUAGCACGCCAAAGUAAAUUAAAAAUAAAACGGUGUAUUUCUUUACUGGCCAAAUCUGUCAACCUUGCUUGAUACCCCUUAGUGAGUUUGAGGUUGCGUCGUAACCCAGUCUGAACUGGGGCUGUGGCCUGUGGUUUAGAGUGACAAGGGAACUCUAUUUAGUCUCCGUAUGAGAUGAUGGAUGCUAAUUAAAUUUUGCAGUAAUUAUUUCACAAUAGAUGUAAGUUGAAACCACCUUAAACUCUAAUUCCACUGUGGUCAGAAAAUAUGUCUGGUAUGAUUUCAAUCUUUUGAAAUGUAUUGAGACUUGUUUUAUGACCCAAGUACAAGGUCUCUCUUGGUGACUGUCCCAUGCACACUUGACAAGGGUGUGCAUCCUGCUGUUCUUGGCUGGAAUGUUCUAUAAAUGUCAAUUAGGUCAAGUUAAUUGUGAGUAUUGCUCACAUCUUCUAUAUACUCAUUAAUGCUUUUGUCUGCGUUUAUUUCUUUAUUUUUACUAACUGCCAAGGCAGCAGUGUUAAAACAUCCAAAUAUGAUUGCGGGUUUGCCUGUUUCUCCUUUUAGUCCUGCCAGGUGUCUUUUCUCCCUGUACUUUGAAGCCCUGUUAUUAGACUCAUCAUCCGUUUAGGUUUGUUAUGUCAUUCUGUUGAAUUUAUCGUUAAGAACUGACCCUCUUUAUCUCUGAUAGUACUCUGUACAAUCUACUUUGUUAUGAAUAGGGUCGCCCUUGCUCUGUUAUAGUUGGUAUUCGUAGGGUAUACCUUUUUUUUGUCUUAAUGUUUUCAGUUUUUCUAUGUCCUUAUACUUGAAGGGUGUCACUUGUUGAGAAACAUACAGUCAGUUUGUUGUUGAUUUUUUUUUUUUUUAACUCCAGUCAGGCAAUCUCUGUCUUUUAGAGAUCGUAUCUAUCAUCUUGCU